ACGGUCCUAAGGUAGCGAAAUUCCUUGUCGGGUAAGUUCCGACCUGCACGAAUGGCAUAAUGAUGGCCAGGCUGUCUCCACCCGAGACUCAGUGAAAUUGAAAUCGCCGUGAAGAUGCGGUGUACCCGCGGCUAGACGGAAAGACCCCGUGAACCUUUACUAUAGCUUGACACUGAACAUUGAAUUUUGAUGUGUAGGAUAGGUGGGAGCCUUAGAAGCAGUCACGCCAGUGAUUGUGGAGGCGUCCUUGAAAUACCACCCUUUAACGUUUGAUGUUCUAACGAAGAUUACGAAACGUGGUCUCGGACAGUGUCUGGUGGGUAGUUUGACUGGGGCGGUCUCCUCCCAAAGAGUAACGGAGGAGCACGAAGGUUUGCUAAUGACGGUCGGACAUCGUCAGGUUAGUGCAAUGGUAUAAGCAAGCUUAACUGCGAGACAGACAAGUCGAGCAGGUACGAAAGUAGGUCAUAGUGAUCCGGUGGUUCUGAAUGGAAGGGCCAUCGCUCAACGGAUAAAAGGUACUCCGGGGAUAACAGGCUGAUACCGCCCAAGAGUUCAUAUCGACGGCGGUGUUUGGCACCUCGAUGUCGGCUCAUCACAUCCUGGGGCUGAAGUAGGUCCCAAGGGUAUGGCUGUUCGCCAUUUAAAGUGGUACGCGAGCUGGGUUUAGAACGUCGUGAGACAGUUCGGUCCCUAUCUGCCGUGGGCGUUGGAGAAUUGAUUGGGGCUGCUCCUAGUACGAGAGGACCGGAGUGGACGCACCACUGGUGUUCCGGUUGUGUCGCCAGACGCAUUGCCGGGUAGCUAAGUGCGGAAGAGAUAAGUGCUGAAAGCAUCUAAGCACGAAACUUGCCAAGAGAUGAGUUCUCCCAGAUUACAAAUCUGUAAGGGUUGUUUAAGACUAAGACGUAGAUAGGUCUGGUGUGUAAGCGGUGCGAGCCGUUGAGCUAACAGAUACUAAUUGCCCGAGAGGCUUAACUAU
rnacentral:rRNA from 1 species